rnacentral:rRNA from 1 species
AUUGAACGCUGGCGGCAGGCCUAACACAUGCAAGUCGAGCGGAUGAGAAGAGCUUGCUCUUCGAUUCAGCGGCGGACGGGUGAGUAAUGCCUAGGAAUCUGCCUGGUAGUGGGGGACAACGUUUCGAAAGGAACGCUAAUACCGCAUACGUCCUACGGGAGAAAGCAGGGGACCUUCGGGCCUUGCGCUAUCAGAUGAGCCUAGGUCGGAUUAGCUAGUUGGUGAGGUAAUGGCUCACCAAGGCGACGAUCCGUAACUGGUCUGAGAGGAUGAUCAGUCACACUGGAACUGAGACACGGUCCAGACUCCUACGGGAGGCAGCAGUGGGGAAUAUUGGACAAUGGGCGAAAGCCUGAUCCAGCCAUGCCGCGUGUGUGAAGGAGGUCUUCGGAUUGAAAAGCACUUUAAGUUGGGAGGAAGGGCAGUAAGUUAAUACCUUGCUGUUUUGACGUUACCGACAGAAUAAGCACCGGCUAACUCUGUGCCAGCAGCCGCCGUAAAAC